GCAUUAAUUAUCGACUGAAAUAACCACUUGCUAGUUGAUUUUUACAUAAAAAGUCUAGUUUAAUCCAUUUCUGGUAAUACUCCAUUACGCGUCGGCCAUUGUCGUGUGUGUUAACUCGAAACAGUGAUGAAAAUGUUUUUUCGAUAAUAUUGAUUUUUUGUUAGCGUCGAAAGUAUUGAUUAACUUAUUUAUCUAAUGUCGAAAAUUAGUGAAACAAAGUUUGAACCGUGUUUAACGAGUUUUACUAAAUAUAAACUGUGUGUAGUUCGUGAAAAUGUCUUUUCGUCGAAAUAGUGACUUGGAGACAUGUAAAACUGAUUAAGACAAGUUAUGGUGAUUUAAAUAGUUCUAAUCAUAGCAGGAAUAACUGAGCAGAUCAAUUCAACAGAAAACCUGACUUUUCAUCUGAAAUGUAAGAGGAACCUACAGGCAUACAUUGCGUGGAAACUUCAUGGAAACCAAAGAAGACAGCGCCUACACCGAUCUGUAUUCCAUUGAGAUAAGUAACUUUUAUAUUCAUUUCUAUGUUCAAUUUUUUGAGUCUAUACCCGAAGUAAUCAUUAUUCGUACCUGGAUGGUGUUUCGACAGUUGAAUGUUGAGAUGUGGAUUUUUCCAGGUUAUUCGAUAUAUUAUCUUCUUCUUGAUCUUUUUCGGCCGAUCCGAUUUGUUCGUUAUAAUCUUCUUCGUCGAUGGAUAAACUGAAGCCUUUCGUUGGUCCUGGUAUUUCUGGAAAUAAACGAUUCCAUCAAUAUUUAUAUAUUUAAAAGUUGUCGAUUUACGAGAGAGGUUCAAAUAUUAUUACAUACGUCAUCAUGAAUGCAUGUUAAAUGCCGACGGCCGUAGCGCGACGUUUUGUCAUUCGUUGUUUGGUGUUGGAAGGCAUUAAAAACACGGAACAUACCUGAGUUGGUCUGCUGUAGCCUAACGUUCAAAGAUGGCCACGAAAAUGUAGAGAAUGAAUAAAUGCGUCAGAGCGUUUGUCUAGUUCAUAUUUGAACCGCCCUCGUAGAUAUAAUAGUUUCGUGAACUGUCAUAUUUUUAGUAUCCUGUCCUGUCAAUUUAGUCAAAGCUUUAUCAGGAUUUUCGCUACUGUUUAAUCCCAGUUUUUUUCAUUCAUUAAUUACUUUCUUGUGUUUAGAUUUUUCAAUUCAACAGUUUUUUUAUGUACAUCUCGUAAAAGCCUUCCUCUCACUUACAAAUAUUGUUAUAGGUUUCAAAACUCAUUUUUGAAAUACAGUAUCUUGGUAUUGACCCGUUUUUUCAAAUAAUUUCAUUUAUAUGUCAAAUUUGUGCACAAAAGUUCCCAAAUUUAAAAAAAAAUGACAUUUUUUUAUAUUAAAAUUUAUCUAAAUCAUUCUUGUAACUUUUCUAAUACCUCCGGUAUAAUUGAACAUCGAGCAACGUGAAUAGUUUGAUCUGGGGAUCUUUAAGGGAAGCACUUUAUUGGCCCGCACUUACCAAUUUACCUUCCAGAGUUUAAAAAAUCGUGAAACUUGUAUAACUUAUGUUAGCAGAAAUUAUAACUUUCCCCGUGUAAAAUUUUCUGCAUACAGCAAUCGGUAUCAUUGUUGAGUUCUUAAUAUAACUUAUGAGGAUUAUCUUCAACAUUUAAUACAUCGUGAAAUUUUACGUUUUCUGAUACCUUAAUAUUAUUAACAAGAUCAGUUUUCCUAAAUUAGUGUCUAGGUAAAUUUUGUCCUUUUUGAAAUCAGUGUGAAAUUUAAUUUCUUUCAUUUUGAAAAACAGUAAAAUUUCGAAUAAAUAUUUGUGGAUCUUCUCAACCCUUUCUUCAUCUUGUUUUAAGAAUGGUUGUUUUUGAAUUUUAAAGAAUACGCUCAAGUAUACCGGAGGUGUUUGAAAAGUUUUCCUUUAUUUCUAAUAUUUCCGAUAUGAUAUAAUUUUCUCUGUUGUCAUUUAGUAGAUUAUCGAUAUAUUUGGCGCACCUUUUUAAUAUCCAUUAUUAGUCUCAUGUGAUUGCUCCCUCUUUAAUUUUAGAGUGCCCUACUGCUCUAUAAAUUGAGAUGUUUUGGACCGUUGAUGGCAUUCUUUUUGAAAAAACACCGUUUACACUACCACUACACUAAUACUCACGAUUACACUGACUGACGCGUGUUUCGAUAACCAAGUUAUUGUCUUCAGAGACUGAAGGUCGAAACGCGCGUCAGACAGUGUAUUAGUGAGUGUUGGUGUAGUGGUAGUGUAAACAGUGUGUUCAGUACUUCAUCUCACUGUUUAUUACCUUGUGCUUUUCUCACAUCCUCGUGAAGAUUUCUUAUUCACGUACAUUGCUUUGCUAUGGCUUCCAGUUUCCCUUUCAUGCGUUUUUUCAUAGUGGUAUUGCCUUUUAAAAAUAAAUAUUUUAUCACAACGUGAUAUUCGGUUAUACAUUUGUCAAACAGAAAAUAUGCGUAGGAAAUAAUUGAAUUUUUCCGACUUAUUGAAAAAUGCUGAAUAAGUUCAGGUUGAUAUUCAAACAACCCUCGUAUUUAGGUUAGGUACUCUUUUUAUUGGGGCAACAAUGUAUAUUACAAUCAUUGUUUUUUUCUUAUUUUAGAUAUUAUCUGAGGAUAUCAAGAGGAUAAAAGAAAUAAUGCGACGCCUAUGGAUUUUGAUAUUCUAGUGGGAAACUUUUCAUUUUAUUUGUGUUUAAUUUUUGAUCGUUAUUUUUUUUAUCAUGUCUGCUAAAUCUACUGUUGAAUAUUUUCGCUUGUUUAAAAUGAAAAGUUUCCAUUUUUUUGCUUUUUAAACUGUACAUAAAAUCGUAUAUUAUAUUUAAUAAAUUUUUUUUUCAAAUUGUGACGCAUAUUGUUGAAAGAAAAUUAGAAACUGUUAAUUUUCUAUGUUCUUUCGACUAAUUUAAAUAACGUAUCCUGAUAAUAAUGAAAAUUCGUUGUU